rnacentral:lncRNA from 12 species
UUUCACUGAUGUUCCCUUUUUCUUUUUUUAAGGGCAUUAGAAGAUGUAUUUCAAAUGCACAUUAAAAGUAAGAGGCAUAACCUUGAUGAGACUCUGAAUUAAAGGGAAAAAAAGAGGUAAAAGCACAUUCCCAAGGGGCUGCUGCAGAACUGUGGGCUCCACAGAGGGUACAGAAGUUCAUUCACAGCCUUCCUUGCCUUGCCUGCCAACUGCUAAUUGGGGGGGCUCUGCCCAGUGCACAGGGCUUGGGGCAUGGAGCUUUUUC